rnacentral:tRNA from 1 species
GGGCCUGUGGUGUAAUGGAUAGCACAAUCGGCUUCGGACCGGUUAAUGGGGGUUCGAAUCCUCCCAGGCUCA